rnacentral:rRNA from 1 species
UCCUACGGGGGGCAGCAGUCGAGAAUUUUUCACAAUGGGGGAAACCCUGAUGGAGCGACGCCGCGUGGGGGAUGAAUGGCUUCGGCCCGUAAACCCCUGUCAUUCGCGAUCAACCGUGGUUAUUUAAAAGAUGGCCACCUGAUAGUAGCGGAAGAGGAAGGGACGGCUAACUCUGUGCCAGCAGCCGCGGUAAUACAGAGGUCCCGAGCGUUGUUCGGAUUCACUGGGCGUAAAGGGUGCGUAGGUGGUGAGGUAAGUCGGAUGUGAAAUACUGGAGCUCAACUCCGGAACGGCAUUGGAAACUACCUUGCUGGAGGGUUGGAGGGGGGACUGGAAUUCUCGGUGUAGCAGUGAAAUGCGUAGAUAUCGAGAGGAACACCGGUGGCGAAGGCGAGUCCCUGGACAACACCUGACACUGAGGCACGAAAGCUAGGGGAGCAAACAGGAUUAGAUACCCCGGUAGC